rnacentral:rRNA from 1 species
GAUGAACGCUGGCGGCGUGCCUAAUACAUGCAAGUCGAGCGAACAGACGAGGAGCUUGCUCCUCUGACGUUAGCGGCGGACGGGUGAGUAACACGUGGAUAACCUACCUAUAAGACUGGGAUAAUUUCGGGAAACCGGAGCUAACACCGGAUAAUAUAUUGAACCGCAUGGUUCAAUAGUGAAUGUCGGCUUUGCUGUCACUUAUAGAUGCAUCCGCGCGGCGUUAGCUAGUUGGUACUGUAACAGCUUAUCAAGGCAACAAUGCGUAGCCGACGUGAGAGGGUGAACGGCCACUGUGGAGCUGAGAGACGAUACAGGCACCGACGGGAGGCAGCGGUAGGGAAGGGAGCGAAAUGGGCGAAAGCCUGACGGAGGAGCGCAGCGUGAAUGAAGAAGGUCUGCGGGUCGUAAAACUCUGUUAGUAGGGAAGAACAAAUGUGUAGGUGACGAUGCACGAGUGGACGGAACCGAUAAAGAAAGCCACGGUUAACUACGU